UACGGGGGGGGCAAGCGUUGUUCGGAAUUACUGGGCGUAAAGGGCUCGUAGGCGGCCAACUAAGUCCGACGUGAAAUCCCCAGGCUUAACCUGGGAACUGCGUCGGAUACUGGAUGGCUUGAAUCCGGGAGAGGGAUGCGGAAUUCCAGGUGUAGCGGUGAAAUGCGUAGAUAUCUGGAGGAACACCGGUGGCGAAGGCGGCAUCCUGGACCAAUAUUGACGCUGAGGAGCGAAAGCCAGGGGAGCAAACGGG
rnacentral:rRNA from 1 species